rnacentral:rRNA from 1 species
UACGGGGGGGGUAAGCGUUGUUCGGAAUUACUGGGCGUAAAGGGCUCGUAGGCGGCCAACUAAGUCAUACGUGAAAUCCCUCAGCUUAACUGGGGAACUGCGUGUGAUACUGGAUGGCUUGGAUUUGGGAGAGGGAUGCGGAAUUCCAGGUGUAGCGGUGAAAUUCGUAGAUAUUCGGAGGAACACCAGUGGCGAAGGCGGCUCACUGGUCCGGUACUGACGCUGAGGUGCGAAAGCGUGGGGAGCAAACAGG